rnacentral:rRNA from 1 species
CUGCGGAGGGAUCAUUACUGAGUUUACGCUCUACAACCCUUUGUGAACAUACCUACAACUGUUGCUUCGGCGGGUAGGGUCUCCGCGACCCUCCCGGCCUCCCGCCUCCGGGCGGGUCGGCGCCCGCCGGAGGAUAACCAAACUCUGAUUUAACGACGUUUCUUCUGAGUGGUACAAGCAAAUAAUCAAAACUUUUAACAACGGAUCUCUUGGUUCUGGCAUCGAUGAAGAACGCAGCGAAAUGCGAUAAGUAAUGUGAAUUGCAGAAUUCAGUGAAUCAUCGAAUCUUUGAACGCACAUUGCGCCCGCCAGCAUUCUGGCGGGCAUGCCUGUUCGAGCGUCAUUUCAACCCUCAAGCUCUGCUUGGUGUUGGGGCCCUACAGCCGAUGUAGGCCCUCAAAGGUAGUGGCGGACCCUCCCGGAGCCUCCUUUGCGUAGUAACUUUACGUCUCGCACUGGGAUCCGGAGGGACUCUUGCCGUAAAACCCCCCAAUUUUCCAAAGGUUGACCUCGGAUCAGGUAGGAAUACCCGCUGAACUUAAGCAUAUCAAUA